rnacentral:rRNA from 1 species
UACGUAGGGUGCGAGCGUUGUCCGGAAUUACUGGGCGUAAAGAGCUCGUAGGUGGUUUGUCGCGUUGUUCGUGAAAACUCACAGCUCAACUGUGGGCGUGCGGGCGAUACGGGCAGACUGGAGUACUGCAGGGGAGACUGGAAUUCCUGGUGUAGCGAUGGAAUGCGCAGAUAUCAGGAGGAACACCGGUGGCGAAGGCGGGUCUCUGGGCAGUAACUGACGCUGAGGAGCGAAAGCGUGGGGAGCGAACAGG